rnacentral:rRNA from 1 species
UCGCCUGUUUAUCAAAAACAUGGUCUUUUGUUUAAAUAAAAGAUUUGGCCUGCCCAAUGAUUAUUUUAAUGGCUGCAGUAUACUGACUGUACAAAGGUAGCAUAAUCAUUUGUCUUUUAAUUGAAGUCUGGUAUGAAUGGUUUGAUGAAAAAUUUACUUUCUUUAUUUUAUAUAAAAAAUUUAAUAUUUGUGUAAAAAGGCAUAAAUAUGGAUAUAGGACGAGAAGACCCUAUAAAGCUUUAUUAUUAAGUAUGUUGAGAUUAUUUUGGUUAUUUGGUUUUUACAUCUAUAUAAUUUGAUUGGGAGGAUAGAAAAAAUAUUAUAACUUUUUUUAUUUUUUUCAUUUAUUUAUGUAUAGUUGACCCUUUAUUAAGGUUAAAAAGAUUAAGUUACUUUAGGGAUAACAGCGUUAUUACUCUGGAGAGUCCAUAUUGAUAGAGUAGUUUGUGACCUCGAUGUUGGAUUAAAAUUAGUGGUGGGGGUAGGUUAUCAUCUAUUAGGUCUGUCGACCUUUAAAUUU